GACGAACGCUGGCGGCGUGCUUAACACAUGCAAGUCGAACGGAAAGGCCCUGCUUUUGUGGGGUGCACGAGUGGCGAACGGGUGAGUAACACGUGAGUAACCUGCCCUUGACUUUGGGAUAACUUCAGGAAACUGGGGCUAAUACCGGAUAGGAGCUCCUGCUGCAUGGUGGGGGUUGGAAAGUUUCGGCGGUUGGGGAUGGACUCGCGGCUUAUCAGCUUGUUGGUGAGGUAGUGGCUUACCAAGGCUUUGAUGGGUAGCCGGCCUGAGAGGGUGACCGGCCACAUUGGGACUGAGAAAGGGCCCAGACUGCUACGGGAGGCAGCAGUGGGAAAUAUUGCACAAUGGGCGGAAGCCGUAUGCAGCAACGCCGCGUGCUGGAUGACGGCCUUCGGGUUGUAAACCGCUUUCGCCUGUGACGAAGCGUGAGUGACGGUAAUGUGUAAAGAAGCACCGGCUAACUACGUG
rnacentral:rRNA from 1 species